rnacentral:rRNA from 1 species
AUUGAACGCUGACGGCGUGCUUAACACAUGCAAGUCGAACGAAGCAUUUAGAACAGAUUACUUCGGUUUGAAGUUCUCUAUGACUGAGUGGCGGACGGGUGAGUAACGCGUGGGUAACCUGCCUUGUACUGGGGGAUAGCAGCUGGAAACGGCUGGUAAUACCGCAUAAGCGCACAAUGUUGCAUGACAUGGUGUGAAAAACUCCGGUGGUAUAAGAUGGACCCGCGUCUGAUUAGCUAGUUGGUGAGAUAACAGCCCACCAAGGCGAUGAUCAGUAGCCGACCUGAGAGGGUGACCGGCCACAUUGGGACUGAGACACGGCCCAGACUCCUACGGGAGGCAGCAGUGGGGAAUAUUGCACAAUGGAGGAAACUCUGAUGCAGCGACGCCGCGUGAGUGAAGAAGUAAUUCGUUAUGUAAAGCUCUAUCAGCAGGGAAGAUAGUGACGGUACCUGACUAAGAAGCUCCGGCUAAAUACGUGCCAGCAGCCGCCGUAACAC